AUUGAACGCUGGCGGCAGGCCUAACACAUGCAAGUCGAACGAGUGGCGGACUGGUGAGUAAUGUCUGGGAAACUGCCUGAUGGAGGGGGAUAACUACUGGGAACGGUUUCUAAUACCGCAUACCAUUGGAUGUGCCCAGAUGGGAUUAGCGAGUAGGUGGGGUAAUGGCUGACCUAGGCCACGAUCCCUAGCUGGUCUGAGAGGAUGACCAGGCACACUGGAACUGAGACACGGUCCAGAAUGCUAAGGGAGGCAGCAGUGGGGAAUAUUGCACAAUGGGCGCAAGCCUGAUGCAGCCAUGCCGCGUGUAUGAAGAAGGCCUUCGGGUUGUAAAGUACUUUCAGCGGGGAGGCGUUAACCGCAGAAGAAGCAGCGGCUAACUCCGUGCCAGCCGCCGCGGUAAUAC
rnacentral:rRNA from 1 species